CCUACGGGGUGCAGCAGUGGGGAAUAUUGCACAAUGGGCGCAAGCCUGAUGCAGCCAUGCCGCGUGUGUGAAGAAGGCCUUCGGGUUGUAAAGCACUUUCAGCGGGGAGGAAGGCGGUGAGGCUAAUAACCUCAUCGAUUGACGUUACCCGCAGAAGAAGCACCGGCUAACUCCGUGCCAGCAGCCGCGGUAAUACGGAGGGUGCAAGCGUUAAUCGGAAUUACUGGGCGUAAAGCGCACGCAGGCGGUCUGUCAAGUCGGAUGUGAAAUCCCCGGGCUCAACCUGGGAACUGCAUUCGAAACUGGCAGGCUAGAGUCUUGUAGAGGGGGGUAGAAUUCCAGGUGUAGCGGUGAAAUGCGUAGAGAUCUGGAGGAAUACCGGUGGCGAAGGCGGCCCCCUGGACAAAGACUGACGCUCAGGUGCGAAAGCGUGGGGAGCAAACAGGAUUAGAUACCCUAGUAGUC
rnacentral:rRNA from 1 species